rnacentral:lncRNA from 1 species
AAACGGUUUUAAUAUUUUGUUCCAUAAAAACAUUCCAUUCAAAAUUAUACGCAAUUGAAAUUACUAUUCCAUGUAUUGGCCAUUCACACGGUACACCACGUCGUAUGAGCAACAUAAAAUGUAUAACACUUUUAUGAAUGCGGAAAAAAUCAACUUUAGAAAUAACGGACACCGUAAAGUACAUAUACGUAAGAUUGUAAAACUUGUUAAUUAACUUGCUUAUACAGGUGACUUGGCGAAUGAAUUCCAAGUACUGAAUUGUUACAAGUACCAGCUGAAUGAUGAAUCAAAUUCUAGGAACUAAAUUCAAUUGACUUUAUGUUAUAGCAAAGCAAUGAUUGAGCAAAAUGACAUCAAAAGAAAAGCUAUUCCGGUUUUUCGAUCAACUAAUCCAGUUUAACGCUUGGAAACUAUUCAAGAAAGAUUGUUUUAUAGAGUUAAACCAUAAGAAAAGAGUAUACAAAAACACGUGACCACAACUCCGAGCGAACAUAUUUAUACACGUAUGUACUAUAUUUUUUAGCACCGCAUCUCCUAGUCCAUAUUCUAUGUUCAAUUAGCUUGAAAAUAUGGUUUUGAUGUGUGAAGCGCCAACAAAGUCAGUCGAUAGUUGAGUGGAAUAUUUUUGUUGGCAAUGAAAACUUAUGGUUCUAUUUCGAAACAUAAAUUUUUUUCAGGUUAAGCGGUUCUUAGAUAAGACUUUGAAUCAGAAUUUUUUAUAUGUGUUUACAUGUGUAAUGAAUACUUAUUCGCCACAAUCGAAAGGGUUGGUUUUGGCUCACUUAAAUUCGACAUGCAUUCACCCUGAAGCCCUUAGACUUGACAACCAUCAAUUUGUUCUCAUGAUUUGCAUUGUUUUUAAGAUCACAAUGCGAAAUGGAUCUAGCGUUGAAAUGUUAACGGCACAUUUGACAAUACCAAAACCACAUUUGCGCAGUCCCCUGGUUAUUGUGGGUUAAUCACAUGACUUUUAGAAAGGCCAACAAAUUCGAUUCAAGGUUUUUUCUAAUGUGUCCUCACAUGUGAGCUGAUUACACUCAUAUCCAAGUGCGACGACAUUUGGAGCGUCAAAGUUUGCGAAAGGCGAAAAAACCUUCAAGUCAUAUCAGGAGGCAGCAAGACAAACUGACGCUAUUUGCAAGCAAUUGAGAACUCUACAGACUCACUCGUACAGAUGAGGUUUGAGGGGGCCACUGAGGUGCUUCAGCAGCCAGUACAAUAAUUCAAAAGAAAGCAAAACUGGAUAGAAACACGUGUAUGCAUGAAGGAACGGGAUUUUCACUUCAGGUCCACUUGAAGUACGCAUUUACUGUUCGGUGACAAGUCGCCAACGGUGAGCGAUUUGUUUACGGCAAAAGUACUGUGACUGAGCGAAGUUUAUCACUUUAUUGCGGUGUUCCAUGAGGAAUACUUACAACUGGAAAUUUACAAAAUAUUAUUAUGUCAGGUUAAGACAUGAAAGCGCAAAGCUUAUGACAUCGAACAAAUUAAAUAAUCAGUGUAAUUAUUCAAAGCAUUUAAUUUCCUCACGAAUAAUUAUUAAAAUUCAUUUCUCUGGAAAUUUAUGAAUA